rnacentral:rRNA from 1 species
CCUUAGUACGGCGAGUGAAGCGGCAAAAGCUCAAAUUUGAAAUCUGGCACCUUCGGUGUCCGAGUUGUAAUUUGAAGAAGCAACUUUGGUGCUGGUCCUUGUCUAUGUUCCUUGGAACAGGACGUCAUAGAGGGUGAGAAUCCCGUGUGGCGAGGAUCCCAGUGCUAUGUAAAGUGCUUUCGACGAGUCGAGUUGUUUGGGAAU